rnacentral:lncRNA from 1 species
UGCUAAGAUUGGAAAACCAAUUAUGCUUGAUCAAGUUUCUCGUCGUUAAAUGUUUUUAAAAUGUCGUUGGACUGGGAACAUUAUUAUGCAUUAAUAAGACAUGGUAGAGGAUAUCAUUCUACAGUUGGGCGAUAUCUUUCGUAUAUAUCCUACCCAGAUACAGCGGAGGCAUAUCCGACGAGACUUUGCGAAACAGGGAUGUUACUAUACGGGCUCUCAAGAUGAGGUUCAAUGUUAUGCAUUGCACUUUUACAUACAGCGGUUGGAAUCAGCGAGAUAUACCAGAAGAAAAACACAGACUUCAUUCUCCUGAAUGUCCGUUUCUUACUGGGAAUGAUGUAGUAACGACAGGCUUUGAUGAUAUUCAGUUGGAAGAUAGAUUUAUUAAUAGACAUUUUGAAGAGACGAAUCGUAUUUCUUUGAACGAUUUUAUAAAUUUACAUGAGAGGCCAAAUUCAGGUAUGUCAAAUGAAAAUAAAGAGAAGGAAGAGAGUAUGGACAACAGGGAGUUGAAUACUAGAGCAGAAACCACGAAUACAUUUCUACGCACUGGAACUAGAGGAUUUUCGUGAAAAUGGUGAUACCAGAGAGGACAAUGACACAGCGGGAGCAGAUGCAAUGCCAUUCGAGGAAUACAGCGCUCGUCUUCGAUCCUACGAACAAUGGCCUAAACGUCAAAUAGCUGAUCCACAGAUGUUGGCAAAAGCAGGCUUCUAUUUCACCGGACGGAUGUGAUAUUAUCCGUUGUUACAAAUGCCGUUUUGAGAUCCGCAACUUAAAGGAUGGAAUAGAUCCUUGGGAAGAACAUGCACGCUUGUAUUCCUACUUGCGACCAUCUCGUGCAAAACAAGGGUGAAAAUUAUGUACAAAGAUUCAGUCAGAACCUCCAUGGUAGAAAUGCUGAGCAAACAGUUCCGAAAGAGCGGCGGGGGCGGGCACACUUUCAGAAGAAAAGGGAUGAACAGAUACGGUCAGUAUAACACCUCC